rnacentral:rRNA from 1 species
UACAGAGGUCCCGAGCGUUGUUCGGAUUCACUGGGCGUAAAGGGUGCGUAGGUGGCUUUGUAAGUUUGAUGUGAAAUCUCCGGGCUUAACCCGGAAAAUGCAUUGAAUACUACAGGGCUGGAGGUUUGGAGGGGGGACUGGAAUUCUCGGUGUAGCAGUGAAAUGCGUAGAUAUCGAGAGGAACACCAGUGGCGAAGGCGAGUCCCUGGACAACACCUGACACUGAGGCACGAAAGCUAGGGGGAGCAAAACAGG